rnacentral:rRNA from 1 species
GUGGGGAAUCUUCCGCAAUGGACGAAAGUCUGACGGAGCAACGCCGCGUGAGUGAAGAAGGUUUUCGGAUCGUAAAGCUCUUUCGUUAGGGACGAACGUGCUCUUUGUGAAUAAUGAGGAGUAAUGACGGUACCUAAAUAAGAAGCCACGGCUAACUACGUGCCAGCAGCCGCGGUAAUACGUAGGUGGCAAGCGUUGUCCGGAAUUAUUGGGCGUAAAGCGCGCGCAGGCGGGAUAUCAAGUCUGUCUUAAAAGUGCGAGGCUCAACCUCGUGAGGGGACAGAAACUGGUAUUCUUGAGUGUCGGAGAGGAAAGUGGAAUUCCAAGUGUAGCGGUGAAAUGCGUAGAGAUUUGGAAGAACACCAGUGGCGAAGGCGACUUUCUGGACGAUGUCUGACGCUGAGGCGCGAAAGCUAGGGAGCGAACGGGAUUAGAUACCCCUGUAGUCC